rnacentral:rRNA from 1 species
GACGGAGGGUGCUAGCGUUGUUCGGAAUCACUGGGCGUAAAGGGCGCGUAGGCGGCCGCCCGCGUCGGACGUGAAAGCCCGGGGCUCAACCCCGGAACGGCGUCCGAUACGGGGCGGCUCGAGGCCGGGAGAGGGGAGUGGAAUACCCAGUGUAGAGGUGAAAUUCGUAGAUAUUGGGUGGAACACCGGUGGCGAAAGCGGCCCCCUGGCCCGGUCCUGACGCUGAGGCGCGAAAGCGUGGGGAGCAAACAGG